CACGUAGUUAGCCGGUGCUUCUUAUACAGGUACCGUCACAAAAAGCUUCGUCCCUGUCGAAAGGAGUUUACAACCCGAAGGCCGUCAUCCCCCACGCGGCGUCGCUGCAUCAGGCUUCCGCCCAUUGUGCAAUAUUCCCCACUGCUGCCUCCCGUAGGAGUCUGGGCCGUAUCUCAGUCCCAAUGUGGCCGUACACCCUCUCAGGCCGGCUACCCGUCGACGCCUUGGUAGGCCAUUACCCCACCAACAAGCUGAUAGGCCGCGAGCUCAUCUUGCACCGAAAAAACUUUCCAACCACCACACUAAAGGCAGUUCAUAUCCGGUAUUAGACCCAGUUUCCCAAGCUUAUCCCAGAGUGCAAGGCAGAUCACCCACGUGUUACUCACCCGUUCGCCACUCGAGUACCCCUUGCAAGCAAGAGGCCUUUCCGUUCGACUUGCAUGUGUUAAGCACGCCGCCAGCGUUCGUCCUGAGCCAGGAUCAAACUCU
rnacentral:rRNA from 1 species